rnacentral:rRNA from 1 species
GGCACUAACACAUGCAAGUCGAACGGUAACAGGAAGCAGCUUGCUGCUUCGCUGACGAGUGGCGGACGGGUGAGUAAUGUCUGGGAAACUGCCUGAUGGAGGGGGAUAACUACUGGAAACGGUGGCUAAUACCGCAUAUACGUCGCAAGACCGAAAGAGGGGGACCUUCGGGCCUCUUGCCAUCAGAUGUGCCCAGAUGGGAUUAUGCUUGUUGGUGAGGUAACGGCUCACCAAGGCGACGAUCCCUAGCUGGUCUGAGAGGAUGACCAGCCACACUGGAACUGAGACACGGUCCAGACUCCUACGGGAGGCAGCAGUGGGGAAUAUUGCACAAUGGGCGCAAGCCUGAUGCAGCCAUGCCGCGUGUAUGAAGAAGAGCCGUUCGGGUUGUAAAGUACUUUCAGCGGGGAGGAAAGUGUUGUGGUUAAUAACCGCAGCAAUUGACGUUACCCGCAGAAGAAACACCGGCUAACUCCGUGCCAGCAGCCGCGGUAAUACGGAGGGUGCAAGCGUGAAUCUGAAUUACUGGGCGUAUAGCGCACGCACGCGGUCUGUCAAGUCCGAUGUGAUAAUCCCCGGGGCUCAACCUGGGGAAGCUGCAUUCGAAAACUNGCCAGGGCCUCGAAGUUCUUGUUAGUAAGGGGGGGGUAGUAAUUUCCCAGGGGUGUUAGUCCGGGUGAAAAUUGCCGUAGAAGAAUCUUGGGAGGAAGUACCCGGGUGGCGAAGGGCGGCGCCCCUGGACACAGACUGACGCUCAUGUGCGAAAGCGUGGGAGCAACAGGAUAGAUCUGUGUUGUAGUAAAAA